UACGAAGGGUGCAAGCGUUACUCGGAAUUACUGGGCGUAAAGCGUGCGUAGGGGGUUUGUUAAGUCUGAUGUGAAAGCCCUGGGCUCAACCUGGGAAUUGCAUUGGAUACUGGCAGGCUAGAGUGCGGUAGAGGAUGGCGGAAUUCCCGGUGUAGCAGUGAAAUGCGUAGAGAUCGGGAGGAACAUCUGUGGCGAAGGCGGCCAUCUGGACCAGCACUGACACUGAGGCACGAAAGCGUGGGGAGCAAACAGG
rnacentral:rRNA from 1 species